ACACAUCACACACACAUCAGACGCACAGACAAACACACACACACCACACAUAUCACACACACACAUAUAUCACACACACAAACACAUCACACAUAUCACACACACACAUCACACACACACAUAAGACACACCCAUACACACAUCACACACAUCAAACACACAUCACACACAUCAAACACACAUCACACAUACACACACACACACCUGACACACGCAUCACACACACACACAUCACACACAGAGACACACACACACACAGAGAGACACACACACACAUCACAUACACACACAAACACACACACACAUACACAUCACACACGCAGACACACACAUACACAUCACAC
rnacentral:lncRNA from 1 species